rnacentral:lncRNA from 1 species
GAAGUGAAAGGAGAAAAAAAAGUAAGGCUCAGAUUUUUGUAGGUCGGUUUAUCUGUUCUUCCUGCCUUUAAAUACCACAUAUGUUAAUGAAAGGUAUAUUCUUAAAUGAUCCUUUGGUUUUUAUAGCCUAAAAACAAUCGAAACAAGAAGCAUCUCUUCAGUGACACAGACACAGACUACAGAGGUGAUGAGAGCAAGACCGACAUCAGUUGGCUACAAGAAUCAAAUAGGAAAUCUAAACCACAGUUAAUUGAUUACUGUAGAAGUAAAAACUUAGGGAAAUCAAUAAGCACAGAAAAAAGUUUGUGGGAAUAAAAGUGACUCCAUAAUCUUACUGCUAAAACUGUAAAUGUCAAACAUCUGCUUCUUCUAAUACUUUAUUGUAACAGCAGAUAAAUUCUCUGGACCUGAAUGCCAGAUGGAUUCAUCUAAAGGAGAAAAUACAAAAAAGAAAAAGAUAACCAAAUGUAAAAAACCAAGUCCUGGAACUGAUGAAAUGAUGGAACAAACCACCAGACCAAAACGAUCUCGAAGAGCUGUCUUAGCAAAAAAUUACAAGGAACCUUCAAGUUCAGAGUCAGAAGGGAAGUCUUCAGCAUGCACCUCUAAGAAAGAGAAAACAAAAGCACAGGUAAAUGGUUG